rnacentral:lncRNA from 1 species
AUGAGGGGUAAUCUGAAUCACAACCUUUCUAACAGUAGAGUUUCACUUCACUCUGAUCACUCAACUAAUUCAUUUCGUUCUGUACCUGAGGCACCCCCAAGACCGCUAUCACCAAAUGUUUUUGUUCGGAGACCGCCUCACCAAAUGUCACCGUCUCCUGUGAUAGAAGUAAUAACGGCAACCCACCCAGUCUCUAAUCGCUUCACUACCGACCCGCCCACUACUAACCAGCAUCUGCGUAAUUGUGAUGAUCUCAAUUCUGGCAUUGUCGUGCGUCCUGCGGAUGAAUAUCUGCAAACCCAGAUUGCAGAUCAACAACGAAUGAUGAUGCAAAUGACUGAACAAAUGGCUAAGCUCCAGACCACUGUUACCCAGGCUUUUGAGGAAAUUAAGAGCGAAGUUCCCUUAUUAGUUCAAGAACAGCUUGAUAGCAAAAUGUCAGAACCAUCAAACUCGCCUAAGCCGUUCUCGGGCGCUGCGCUUGAACAGUCUCCGUACCGAGGAAAUUGUGCAACUGUAGCACCAUGUCAUAGUGAUUCCAUCAAAUUUAAAGAUCUGCCAAAUUUCAAUGGAACUCUUGAGGGUAUCCACCCGAAAGAAUUCGUGAGUGAGCUUGAUGCUUACUACAGUUCGUCACGUAAAUCAGACCAAACCAAAUUAUUCGAGGUUGGAAGAUUGUUCAAGGGCAGUGCACGAGAAUGGUUUAAGGUGAAUCAAAACCGGAAUAAGUUUGUAUCCUUUGAAGAUUUUAAAUCUGAGUUCCUUCAAUUCUUUUGGGGUCCGGAAAUACAGAGUUCCGUAUUUGAUACAUUCGUAUCAUCAAAUCAACCUGCCCCAACCUAUGGUAAUUUGUCUAAUUAUUUCCUCUCUCGAGUCCGAAACAUGCAAUACCUUGAUGUUCCGGCACCUGAACCAUAUGUAAUCGCACCUAUUGUGAAUCAGCUUCCAUACGACGUAUGCUCAGCUAUAAUGCUGGCUAAAGCUAGCACCAUUGAUGAUGUCUUAAGAAUUUUACGUGGCUUUGAUCAGCUCGGCUCGAGACAGAAACCUAGCGGCUCUGCAAGCCAGCACCAACAGCCAAAAUUCCAACAGCCCACCGGAAAUUUGAACACUUUUGCUCAUAAAAAUGUAAAAACUGCAGAGAUAAAUGUUGGUAAUGGUCCUGAAUCGUUCCCAUCGGAUCCUUUAAACUAG